UACAGAGGCCCCAAGCGUUACUGAGAAUCACUGGGUUUAAAGGGUGCGUAGGGGGCGCGUUAAGUCCGUUGUGAAAUCCCUUGGCUCAACCAAGGAAAUGCUUCGGAUACUGGCGUGCUUGAGGCUAGUAGGGGUCACUGGAACUGACGGUGGAGCGGUGAAAUGCGUAGAUAUCGUCAGGAACGCCGAUGGUGAAGACAGGUGACUGGGCUAGUUCUGACACUGAGGCACGAAAGCGUGGGGAGCGAACGGG
rnacentral:rRNA from 1 species